rnacentral:rRNA from 1 species
GAUGAACGCUAGCUAUAGGCUUAACACAUGCAAGUCGAGGGGAAACGGCAUUAUGUGCUUGCACAUUUUGGACGUCGACCGGCGCACGGGUGAGUAUCGCGUAUCCAACCUGCCCUUUACUUGGGGAUACCCCGUUGAAAGACGGCCUAAUACCCGAUGUAAUUCAUUGAUGGCAUCAGAUAUGAAUAAAAGAUUUAUCGGUAAAGGAUGGGGAUGCGUCUGAUUAGCUUGUUGGUGAGGUAACGGCUCACCAAGGCGACGAUCAGUAGGGGUUCUGAGAGGAAGGUCCCCCACAUUGGAACUGAGACACGGUCCAAACUCCUACGGGAGGCAGCAGUGAGGAAUAUUGGUCAAUGGACGGAAGUCUGAACCAGCCAAGUAGCGUGCAGGAAGACGGCCCUAUGGGUUGUAAACUGCUUUUAUACGAGAAUAAUUUGAUGCACGUGUGCGUUAUUGCAUGUAUCGUAUGAAUAAGGACCGGCUAAUUCCGUGCCAGCAGCCGCGGUAAUACGGAAGGUCCAGGCGUUAUCCGGAUUUAUUGGGUUUAAAGGGAGUGUAGGCGGUUUGUUAAGCGUGUUGUGAAAUUUAGAUGCUCAACAUUUAACUUGCAGCGCGAACUGUCAGACUUGAGUACACGCAACGUAUGCGGAAUUCAUGGUGUAGCGGUGAAAUGCUUAGAUAUCAUGAAGAACUCCGAUUGCGAAGGCAGCAUACGGGAGUGUAACUGACGCUUAAGCUCGAAGGUGCGGGUAUCGAACAGG